AAGUCGUAACAAGGUUUCCGUAGGUGAACCUGCGGAAGGAUCAUUAAUGAGUUAGGGUCUUUUAGGCCCGAUCUCCAACCCUUUGUAUAACUACCAUGUUGCUUUGGCGGGCCCGUCUUUAACCGGACCGCCGGGGGUCUCUUGACCUCUGGCCAGUGCUCGUCAGUAGCCUACACAAAACUCUUUUAACCAUGUUAAAUCUGAAACUAGUUAAAUAAACUAAAACUUUCAACAACGGAUCUCUUGGUUCUG
rnacentral:misc_RNA from 1 species